AGACGGCAUAUUUCAAAUUGAGACUAUUCGAUCCACGGGCUGGUCAUCAAGAUGGAGCAGGGUAUAGAGAAGCCAUUAGGGAUGAUACAGAACAGCACCAAAGGAGCUCCUUCUGGGAUUCUCUAUUGGCUGAAUUCAGCCAGAAGCUGCCAAGGGAGACCCCCACAACUGGAUGCAGCCCACUGAAGUCAGCUUCCUGGGGUGCAUAGCUGAAGGUAGCAGGGAGCAAAAAGAAUCUGAAGGGGCAAGUGAACAAUGUAGAGCGUAUCUGUGCUGAAGACAUAAGGAGAGAGUGGAGGUCAGAAGCUGGCACGGUCCCUGGUGCACGUGUCAGCCGCUAAAGAAGUGGAGAGUAUGAACAUAAGCAAGAGGAAGUGAUGAGUAUCCCU
rnacentral:lncRNA from 1 species